rnacentral:rRNA from 1 species
UACGGGGGGGGCGAGCGUUGUUCGGAAUCACUGGGCGUAAAGCGCACGUAGGCGGAUUGCUAAGUCAGGGGUGAAAUCCUGGAGCUCAACUCCAGAACUGCCCUUGAUACUGGCGACCUUGAGUCCGGGAGAGGUGAGUGGAACUGCGAGUGUAGAGGUGAAAUUCGUAGAUAUUCGCAAGAACACCAGUGGCGAAGGCGGCUCACUGGCCCGAUACUGACGCUGAGGCACGAAAGCGUGGGGAGCAAACAGG